AUUUAAUUGUUAUAAAAUCCA
rnacentral:snRNA from 1 species